rnacentral:rRNA from 1 species
CCUACUUUGUUCCGCCGUGCGGAAUAUUGGUCAAUGGGCUUACGCCUGAACCAGCCAAGUCGCGUGAGGGAAGACUGCCCUAUGGGUUGUAAACCUCUUUUGUCAGGGAGCAACGCCGGCUACGUGUAGCCGGACUGAGAGUACCUGAAGAAAAAGCAUCGGCUAACUCCGGGCCAGCAGCCGCGGUAAUACGGAGGAUCCGAGCGUUAUCCGGAUUUAAUGGGUUUAAAGGGAGCGUAGGUGGAUUGUUAAGUCAGUGGUGAAAGUUUGCGGCUCAACCGUAAAAAUGCAGUUGAAACUGGCAGUCUUGAGUACAGUAGAGGUGGGCGGAAUUCGUGGUGUAGCGGUGAAAUGCUUAGAUAUCACGAAGAACUCCGAUUGCGAAGGCAGCUCACUGGACUGCAACUGACACUGAGGCUCGAAAGUGUGGGUAUCAAACAGGAUUAGAUACCCGGGUAGUC